AAUUAUUAGUUUUUUAAUUGAAAGCUUGUAUGAAGGGUUGGACGAGAUAAAAUCUGUCUUUAUUUAAAUUACAAUAGAAUUUAACUUUUAAGUCAAAAGGCUUAAAUGUAUAUAAAAGACGAGAAGACCCUAUAGAUCUUUAUUUAAUUAAUAUUUUGAUAAUUUAAGAUUAUUUUAGUUUAAAGUUUUAAUUAAAUUUUAUUGGGGUAAUAUAGAGAUUAAAUAAAUUCUUUUUAUUUAUUACAUUGAUUUAUGAAUAUAUGAUCCAAUAUUAUUGAUUAUAAGAUUAAGUUACCUUAGGGAUAACAGCGUAAUUUUUUUGGAGAGCUCAUAUCGAUAAAAAAGUUUGCGACCUCGAUGUUGGAUUAAAAAUUAGCUUGGGUGCAGAAGCUCAAGAUUUUGGUCUGUUCGACCAUUAAAUUUUUACAUGAUCUGAGUUCAGACCGGCGUAAGCCAGGUCGGUUUCUAUCUUUAUUUAUCUAAAAUAUUUUAGUACGAAAGGACCAAAUAUUUAAUAUAAUUAUAUUUCUUUUUUGAAUAAUAUU
rnacentral:rRNA from 1 species